AGCAUGCAAGUCAAACGGGAUGUAGUAAUACAUCUAGUGGCGAACGGGUGAGUAACGCGUGGAUGAUCUACCUAUGAGAUGGGGAUAACUACUAGAAAUAGUGGCUAAUACCGAAUAAGGUCAAUUAAUUUGUUAAUUGAUGAAAGGAAGCCUUUAAAGCUUCGCUUGUAGAUGAGUCUGCGUCUUAUUAGUUAGUUGGUGGGGUAAAUGCCUACCAAGGCGAUGAUAAGUAACCGGCCUGAGAGGGUGAACGGUCACACUGGAACUGAGAUACGGUCCAGACUCCUACGGGAGGCAGCAGCUAAGAAUCUUCCGCAAUGGGCGAAAGCCUGACGGAGCGACACUGCGUGAAUGAAGAAGGUCGAAAGAUUGUAAAAUUCUUUUAUAAAUGAGGAAUAAGCUUUGUAGGAAAUGACAGAGUGAUGACGUUAAUUUAUGAAUAAGCCCCGGCUAAUUACGUGCCAGCAGCCGCGGUAAUACGUAAGGGGCGAGCGUUGUUCGGGAUUAUUGGGCGUAAAGGGUGAGUAGGCGGAUAUAUAAGUCUAUGCAUAAAAUACCACAGCUCAACUGUGGAACUAUGUUGGAAACUAUAUGUCUAGAGUCUGAUAGAGGAAGUUAGAAUUCCUGGUGUAAGGGUGGAAUCUGUUGAUAUCAGGAAGAAUACCGGAGGCGAAGGCGAACUUCUGGGUCAAGACUGACGCUGAGUCACGAAAGCGUAGGGAGCAAACAGGAUUAGAUACCCUGGUAGUCUACGCUGUAAACGAUGCACACUUGGUGUUAA
rnacentral:rRNA from 1 species